rnacentral:rRNA from 1 species
CUUCUCGAUUCUACGAGAAUUUUUAUGAAAGCGUUUCAUUUGCUUCUCUUCAAUGGAAGUUUCAUUUUCCCAGAAUGUAUCCUAAUUUUUGGCCUAAUUCUUCUUCUGAUGAUCGAUUCAACCUCUGAUCAAAAAGAUAGACCUUGGUUCUAUUUCAUCUCUUCAACAAGUUUAGUAAUAAGCAUAACGGCCCUAUUGUUCCGAUGGAGAGAAGAACCUAUAAUUAGCUUUUCGGGAAAUUUCCAAACGAACAAUUUCAACGAAAUCUUUCAAUUUCUCAUUUUAUUAUGUUCAACUUUAUGUAGCUUGAGCCACAGAUAA